rnacentral:rRNA from 1 species
GACGAACGCUGGCGGCGUGCUUAACACAUGCAAGUGGUGCGACGAACCGGGCUUCGGCCCGGGGCAAAGCCGCGAACGGGUGAGUAACACGUGGGUAACCUGCCCCAAUGACCGGGACAACCCGAGGAAACUCGGGCUAAUACCGGAUGUGCCCUCCAUCUUUCGGGAUGGAGAGGAAAGGUAGCUUCGGCCUCCGCAUUGGGAUGGGCCCGCGGCCCAUUAGCUUGUUGGUGAGGUAACGGCUCACCAAGGCUGCGAUGGGUAGCUGGUCUUAGAGGACGAUCAGCCACACUGGGACUGAGACACGGCCCAGACUCCUACGGGAGGCAGCAGUGGGGAAUCUUGCGCAAUGGGCGAAAGCCUGACGCAGCGACGCCGCGUGAGGGAUGACGGCCUUCGGGUUGUAAACCUCUUUCAGCAGGGACGAAGCGCAAGUGACGGUACCUGCAGAAGAAGCACCGGCUAACUACGUGCCAGCAGCCGCGGUAAUACGUAGGGUGCGAGCGUUGUCCGGAAUUAUUGGGCGUAAAGAGCUCGUAGGCGGUUUGUCGCGUCGACUGUGAAAACCUACAGCUUAACUGUGGGCUUGCAGUCGAUACGGGCAGACUUGAGUUCGGUAGGGGAGACUGGAAUUCCUGGUGUAGCGGUGAAAUGCGCAGAUAUCAGAGGAACACCGGUGGCGAAGGCGGGUCUCUGGGCCGAUACUGACGCUGAGGAGCGAAAGCGUGGGGAGCGAACAGGAUUAGAUACCCUGGUAGUCCACGCCGUAAACGUGGGAACUAGGUGUGGGGGGCUUCCACGUCCUCCGUGCCGUAGCUAACGCAUUAAGUUCCCCGCCUGGGGAGUACGGCCGCAANCUAA